UCGACGAAACAGGGGUGCUUCGCAUGCGGUGUCUGCAGGAACGACGCGCGGCGAGGCUGAGAGAAACCCUUUGCACCCGAUCCGGGUAAUACCGGCGAGGGAAGUUUCCGGAAAACGUAC
rnacentral:ncRNA from 2 species